UUGUGCUGGGUCAUCCAAUUUUCUAUUCUUCCCUUCCCCAAAAGAAGUGGCAUAAUCCAGUGGAUGUCUAACUUAACACACAAAGGCAGAGAAAAAUGGGUUCUAGUUUAUUCCUUGGUUGUUGGGAGCCAUUUCAACUUCCUGCCUGGACACUUUUGUUGGAGCCUGAAUGCAAGAGCCAUUCUCACUGGGAUGCCACAGCUCUGGAGACUUCUUAUAGAUGUUGUUUGGAACACUCCAGGCUUGGAGAUGGGCCUUUAGACACUGCCUGUAGUACUGCUUAGCAACAGCUCUACAGACAUAAAGAGAUUGCAGUGGCUGCUCCUUCCUGGCUCCACCAUUCGUGUGCAUAAAACAAUGCCCACCUUGCAAUAAACACUCAGG
rnacentral:lncRNA from 1 species